GCCUAUGACCAUUCCAGAUUGAAUAUACCCAAUCUCGUCUGAUCUCGGAAGUCAAGCAAUCUCGGGCUUGGUUAGUACUUGGAUGGGUGACCGCUUGGGAAUACCAAGUGUGAUAAGCA
rfam:Ciona savignyi cont_33229, whole genome shotgun sequence.